UAGGGAAUAUUGGUCAAUGGGCGAGAGCCUGAUCCAGCGACGCCGCGUGGGUGGUAAGGCCUUCGGGUUGUAAAGCCCUUUCACCGGGGAAGAUGAUGACAUUACCCGGAGAAGAAGCGCCGGCUAACUCCGUGCCAGCAGCCGCGGAAAGACGGAGGGCGCUAGCGAUGAUCGGAAUCACUGGGCGUAAAGGGCGCGUAGGCGGCUGUUUAAGUCGAGGGUGAAAGCCCGGGGCUCAACCCCGGAACGGCCUUCGAGACUGGGCAGCUCGAGACCGGAAGAGGAGGGUGGAAUACCCAGUGUAGAGGUGAAAUUCGUAGAUAUUGGGUGGAACACCAGUGGCGAAAGCGGCUCUCUGGUCCGGAUCUGACGCUGAGGCGCGAAAGCGUGGGGAGCAAACAGGAUUAGAUACCCGGGUAGUCC
rnacentral:rRNA from 1 species